GUUUAAUGGUCUUUUUGAGGAGUCCAGUCAGAAAACAAUUGCAGUCAUCAAGUCUACAUGAGAUUAAAACAUGGAUGAACUUUUCCUAGUCUGCUUGACACAUACAUGCCUUCACUCUAGGCAUGCCGUCGCAAUUGAUUAAAACUGCAUCGCGAUCGAAGCAUUGAGCACCCCUGGUGUAGAGUGAGAAGAACAGCGAGGAGCUGACACAACUGAUGGACAGACUUGUCGCUGUCUUUGGCUGAUGAUUGAACUGCAGAGGGGAGAUGACACAACUGAAAGACACAACCUUUGGGAAGUUGUAGAUGCACUGGCAGAUGACUGGUGAGAUGCUGAGCUGGAGAAGCUUGGAGGAGAGGAGUUCAAGGAUGAUGGUGUUAAACACAGAGCUGGUAAGCUCGAUAAGCAAACUGCAGUGGGUCCAGCUGGGGACCUUUGAUGCUCUUGAGGUGUUCCAGGACAAGGUGUUCAAAGACUUCAUGACCUCAGAUGUCAAGGAAACAGAACUUUAGUCAUUAGGACAUCAGACCGCUCCUUUUUUGGACCGGUUUGAUGGUGGAGCGUUUGAAGCAGGUUGGUACUUCACACAGUUCCAGAGACCUGUUUAAGAUCUUUGUGAAGAGAGGAGCAAGUUGCUCUGCGCAGACUGUGAGGGAGGAUGGGGACACAAGGUUUGGUUGAUCUUUUCUUGUUUAAAGAUAUGCCUCACGUCCCAUUAAACAGUGGAGUUGGAGAUGGUGAAGUGGACGGUGGUGUAACUUUAUGGGUCUGUCGAGUGAAAGUGUCCUUUUCAAAACUGCAGUAAAAGCUGUUGAGGUAUUCAGCUAGCCCACUAUUGUUUUCUACUCGGGAGGUCCAUGCUUGUAAUUACUGAGCGAUUGUAAUCCGUGCCAGAAGUGUUAUUGUCUUUAUACACCCAAUGGUUAGGUAAAAAAAACAAAAAACAUAUUUUGACGUCCUGGACUAUGCUGUCUGCUUCUUCUGCAUCACCAUCUUUAACACUAGAGAAUCCAUGGGGUGACAUAUGACCUAGUGCAAUAAAUACAGUUACUCUUUUUACUGUUAAAGCGCGUCUCACGUGUCUGCAUGAAAUGCAUUGGAUUUUGCUCGUUAAGACCUACUGGGUCAUGUGUGACCCAUUAUCUAAAUCGGAAGUAAAUUAGUACAUUUUUCCAAAUAUGAUGUUUUUGUGUUCCUUUGAUGCUUAUUGAUUAAUUUAUUUAGUACAUACAAUUUUAAAAGAGGAUUUGGAUGUCUUCGGUUCUCUCGGGUUAA